GACGAACGCUGGCGGCGUGCUUAACACAUGCAAGUCGAACGGAAAGGCCUGCUUUCCCUUGUGGAUUGCGGGUACUCGAGUGGCGAACGGGUGAGUAACACGUGAGUGAUCUGCCCCCAACUUGGGUAUAAGCCUGGGAAACUGGGUCUAAUUCCCGAUAGGACUGCAGGGUGGUGCCUGUGGUGGAAAACGAUUUUCUAGUGGUUGGGGAUGAGCUCGCGGCCUAUCAGCUUGUUGGUGGGGUAAUGGCCUACCAAGGCGGCGACGGGUAGCCGGCCUGAGAGGGUGGACGGCCACAUUGGGACUGAGAUACGGCCCAGACUCCUACGGGAGGCUGCAGUGGGGAAUAUUGCACAAUGGGCGGAAGCCUGAUGCAGCGACGCCGCGUGGGGGAUGACGGCCUUCGGGUUGUAAACUCCUUUCGACCGCGAGGAAGCCACCUGGUUGGAAGGGUGGUGACGGUAGUGGUAGAAGAAGCACCGGCUAACUACGUG
rnacentral:rRNA from 1 species